rnacentral:rRNA from 1 species
UACGUAGGUGGCAAGCGUUGUCCGGAUUUAUUGGGCGUAAAGCGAGCGCAGGCGGUUCCUUAAGUCUGAUGUGAAAGCCCACGGCUCAACCGUGGAAGGUCAUUGGAAACUGGGGAACUUGAGUGCAGAAGAGGAGAGUGGAAUUCCAUGUGUAGCGGUGAAAUGCGUAGAUAUAUGGAGGAACACCAGUUGCGAAGGCGAUUCUCUGGACUGUAACUGACGCUGAGGCACGAAAGCGUGGGGAGCAAACAGGAUUAGA